rnacentral:misc_RNA from 1 species
CCUCGCAUUCCCCUUCAGUCGUCGGCACAAGAGCGGUAGCCUUGGCCGCCCGCGGGUUUCCUGUGUUGCAUACCCACCGAAGGGUAUUCGGUCGUCGCAAGGAUGGACGUUCCCCCGUCGCCGUGCCCCCACGCAAGGGGGCGUGGCGUGGGGCGAACCACGAAGGCGGCCUCGUGCGUCCGGGACGGCGUCGACCGACGCGUCCCGGCCCACGACGUGCCGCCUGAGCUCUCGGAUGCAGUGCACCAGGAGGGCAGGGGGUCGCUCGACGACCUCCGUUUUGCCCGAACUCGGCGUCAAUCGCCCGCACCGAACGACCGCCGUCGUCGUCUCGGGACGUCGCGCCCCUCGUCGGGCCCGUCGGCCCCGUGCGACGCCGGCGUCGGUUA